rnacentral:rRNA from 1 species
UACGUAGGGUGCAAGCGUUGUCCGGAAUUAUUGGGCGUAAAGAGCUCGUAGGCGGUUUGUCGCGUCUGCUGUGAAAUCUGGGGGCUCAACCCCCAGCCUGCAGUGGGUACGGGCAGACUAGAGUGCGGUAGGGGAGAUUGGAAUUCCUGGUGUAGCGGUGGAAUGCGCAGAUAUCAGGAGGAACACCGAUGGCGAAGGCAGAUCUCUGGGCCGUAACUGACGCUGAGGAGCGAAAGCAUGGGGAGCGAAUGGG